UACGAAGGGGGCUAGCGUUGUUCGGAAUUACUGGGCGUAAAGCGCACGUAGGCGGAUUGUUAAGUUAGGGGUGAAAUCCCAGGGCUCAACCCUGGAACUGCCUUUAAUACUGGCAAUCUCGAGUCCGAGAGAGGUGAGUGGAAUUCCGAGUGUAGAGGUGAAAUUCGUAGAUAUUCGGAGGAACACCAGUGGCGAAGGCGGCUCACUGGCUCGGUACUGACGCUGAGGUGCGAAAGCGUGGGAGCAAACAGGG
rnacentral:rRNA from 1 species